ensembl:lncRNA
GUCGGUAUCUGUCAGGUGAGAGGUUUCCCCGAGGGGAAGAUAAAACUUGGCGGCGGAUUUGCAUCGUGUAGGUUGACGGAAAAGUCACGGAUACGUUCGUCGUGCCGUGUGGUGGGUGGAGACGUGAAAGGUGUGUUCGACAGCGAGGACACGAGCGUGUCCCCCGUUUUGAAGCCGCGCUGCGUGUGAUGCCCUCCACCGGAACGUGGGUAGCAGCUGCCUCUGGUGUUGUCGACGCCUCCGCAGAGCGGCGUUCAACGAGAACAGAUUGCGGUGACCUUCCAACACGACGGCGGUCGAGCUGAAGGGGUCCUUGAGCUUCACGCAGUGAACUCCUGAGGCACUCGAGUGGCAGACGCCUGCGCUGAGGCAUCGUCACCGUGACCUCGGUGAUCCAUCGCCAACCGUGUGGACGUUUAAGGUUCGAGAACGUGAGUGUAGAAGAGAACGCGGGAAGGAGCUCAUUCUCUGUGGGUCCUCGUAAUCAUCCAGGAAAACCACGCAGGUGACCGGAUCCUCACUGAAGGCAAGGUGCCAGCAGGAGGACACAGGGUUGGAAUUGGGCGAGGUUGUCGAAUGUUCACGAAAGUCAUCCUGAAGGGAUGGGGAGACCGAUGGAAGCCACACCCACUAGGGUGAGGCAUCCUGGGCAGAUGAUCGACUGCGAAGUCCUGCCGUGUGCGUUACUUGCUCGCAGAGAUGCUCCCGGUGGAGGCUUCGCGCAGCGUGCUCCUGUCUGGUUACAGAUUGUCGUAGACGAAGAUCCUUCCUGACAGCGGAAGAGAACAGAGAAACAGUCCUUUUUUGCUGUGGAUCCUCCCCAUCAUCCAUGUCAAGGAGAAGAAUGAGCAUAGGACGACCCCUCUUGUUUGUCUCUGCAUCCACAUAAUCACCCGGCUGAUGUAAAGGAGGGCACGUGAUCCGGAUUGAUGGAGGUUCGUGUCACUGGGGGGAAGUGGGUCGACGUUGUUCAGUGUGAUGGAGUCCUGUCAAAUACAGUCACAGUGGAGUGGUGGUGAGACACAGGAAAGCCACAUUGGACAGUUGAGUGGCCACCGGGCCGGCCAUCGACCUCGACGCACACUGUGUGCAGCACCCUGCCCAGAAAUGCACGGAUUACGUGGUCUGUGUGUAGUCCGUGCAUUUCUGGGUAGAGCGAUGCUCUACAAGCACAACGUUGGUGGUGGCAUUGGGACCGGUCACAAUGGAGGCCUGCUGUUUCCUGGUGCUGUCUGCGUGGAGCUAAGGAGUGAGUGCCCUGGGAGACACCUGGAUCUCCGCCAUCCUCAAGGUGCCGCACAGUGUUUCCUUUCUGAUGAUGUGAACACCUCAGAGAAGAGAAGAUCAUACUUCCUUUUUGAAGAAGAAAACACGGGGCCAGGAUUCUGCUCUGUUGUCUCUCAUACUCAUGGAGGUCAACACAGGGAGGUGAGGGGUCUUACUCCUUAAGGGAAGGCAUGAAGUCAGAGGGCAGCGAUUAGGCAUUUUGUAGAGUUGGGAAAACUUCGUGUGUCAGUUCCUCCUCCUGUGGUACGCAGGGCGGAGAAAAGUCCCUUUCUCAGUGCAAGGGAAACUGCUCUCCACUCCCCUCUGAGCCAUGCCGAGCACAGUGCCCUGCCUCACGGGCGCCGAUGACGCGUCAUCAUCACCCGUCUGGGUAGGGGAAUAAUCCGCAAAGAUACCGACACAGAA